GGGGAAAUACUCUAGACCUUGAACUUAAACAAAAGUUCAGUGUUUUGAACUUUAAAAAGUGGAUACUAUCCUCUCUUCCUCCUUCAGCUACUUGAAAAGAAAGUCACGAGCUGAAAAGAAACAUGUGCUUACCUUAAAUGGAGAUUUCCAAUCUGAACUCUGUGGACAGAGACACCUUCCCACAGCCUUGUGCCAGGCACUGAAGUUCUGGCGAAGAACGAGGGUUAGAAAAGUGGUUCUCAAUCUUUUUAGACACCAGGCACCACUCGUUAGACUCAUGGCACUCCUUGGAAAAUGCCAGCUCUUAGCUUCACUUGGUUUUUGACCAUAGAAAAAUAACAGUAAUUUUUUCUGUUGCAGACAACUCAGGAAGAGAACAGAUCCAAAACUUAAAGUACGGAAGCAAAGGAACAACUCCCGUUUCGAACAAACCCACAAACCAAACUGAUUAUAUUAUCAGGAGAUGCUGUUGGGAUUGUAAUUCCCACUACCCACAUAAGAACUGAUUACGAAUGGGAGAGGUCAGAACCAGACGAGACUCAGACAUGCAAGGAUAGCAGAUUAUUAAAUAAGGAGAUGAAGAAGGAUUCAGAGACAUCUUAAUUCAAAAUGGAUAGUCAACAGCUCCUUAAGCCUGGAGAAGAUUAAGGGCUCAAGGUGAUGAGAAAAGAAGAUUCCAACUGCUACUGAAGGGGUCUGAAUACUUUGUUUUAUCUGAAGUAUAUCAGUAACUUUCUCAUCAAGCAACUCACUAUUAAUUCUUGUUUAAUGUCUGAAUAUAAAGAAGGGGGUUAGUAUGUAGAAAUAAGAAAGAAACAUUACUUUUCUAAUGCAGCAGAUAUCAGGUACCAGAAUAGUGUGUACAGUCCUGGUAUCCCCCUUCUUAGAGGGAUGUUGAAAAAUUGGAGAUGAUAUGAAAAAGAGAUGCAAAAAUGGAGUCAUCGAAAAAAAAUGCCUUAUGAUGAAAGAAAGAGAUCAGUCUGUUUAAUUUCUUAAGGCGACGACCAAGAGGUGCUGUGAUUUUAGUGUUUAAAUAAUUCUGCAGAUAAAACGUUGUGCAUUGGGAGGUUUUAAAAUCUAUGUUAGAAGGGCACAUCAUAGCCAAAAGCUGAAUUCAGAAAAAUUCAAUUUAAAAAUAUGACAGAACUUGAUAACAUUGAAAGGUGAUUAAAUGUUGGAACCAACUACCAACAGAUGCAGGGGAUUCUCCUGCUUGUCAUACCUUGAACACAAGACUGAAGGCAUCUCUAGAAGGUGCACUUUAGUUAGACAACAGUAAUAUGUUCAAUACAAGGUUAGUGGGGUGAAAUUUUAUGGCCUGUGUUAUAUAGCAGGUCAGACCCAGUCAUCCAAUGGUCCCUUCGCGUCUUAAAAAUCUACAAACCGAUGAAACUCCCAGAAAGCAAGGACUGUGAAUACCAUGGUAGGAUUGGGUCAUAUGUCUGAAUUCUUUGAACAUGCUCCUCCUCAUACGUGUUUCACUUUCUUUAAUACUCCUAGUUGCCAUCUAUUCAUAUUUCCUACUCACUCUGGUUUUGGCAGGGUGAUAGUUAUUCUUACAAAGAGACAGUGCAAUUCAGUGGCAAAGGCAAUGGGUUGAGAGUCAAGAAGCCUAGAUUCUGUUUCUUGCUUUGUCAUUAGCCUACUAUGUGACUCUCUUUUCUUGUUCUGAUUUCAGUUCCCCAUCUGUAAAUUGGGACUUUGGAAUUUAGGAAUUAAAUAUGCUAUAU